CACGUGGAAAAUGAUGGUGUCAAUCAUCAAAUGGCCAAAUAAAAAGAGGUUCAAGGAUGGGGGGUUCAUCAGCAACCUCACAUCUUGGUCAUCGGAUGAAAGAGAAGAUUGGAAGAAGCUACUGAAGGUAAAGCAGAAAUAUAAGGGAUAAUUCCUCAACUACAGCGGACAGAGUUGGAAUCUGAGCCAAGCGGAGCAGUCAUGCUGAGUUCAGGAAGCCUCACUGCUAAAUGCCACCUAUCAAAGUGGCCUCCCCUGACCAUCCUGUGUAAAACAAUCCCUCCUUCCUCUCUAGA